rnacentral:rRNA from 1 species
GAUGAACGCUGGCGGCGUGCCUAAUACAUGCAAGUCGAGCGAACGGACGAGAAGCUUGCUUCUCUGAUGUUAGCGGCGGACGGGUGAGUAACACGUGGAUAACCUACCUAUAAGACUGGGAUAACUUCGGGAAACCGGAGGUAAUACCGGAUAAUAUUUUGAACCGCAUGGUUCAAAGGUGAAAGACGGUCUUGCUGUCACUUAUAGAUGGAUCCGCGCUGCAUUAGCUAGUUGGUAAGGUAACGGCUUACCAAGGCAACGAUGCAUAGCCGACCUGAGAGGGUGAUCGGCCACACUGGAACUGAGACACGGUCCAGACUCCUACGGGAGGCAGCAGUAGGGAAUCUUCCGCAAUGGGCGAAAGCCUGACGGAGCAACGCCGCGUGAGUGAUGAAGGUCUUCGGAUCGUAAAACUCUGUUAUUAGGGAAGAACAUAUGUGUAAGUAACUGUGCACAUCUUGACGGUACCUAAUCAGAAAGCCACGGCUAACUACGUG